UCUUUUCUUCGUCUCUGCCUCUUUUUCGUUCUUGCCCUUUUCGAAAGGAGAAGAGAGAUCGCUUCCUCCGGUCUUCUGAUGAGAAGAGAGAUCACUUCCUUGACCGAUCAGUUCAAUCCCUCUUUUUUCUAUGCGCUCUCUGUUCUUCGUCUCUCUCUCUUCUUCUUUGCUCUCUCUUUUCCGAUUGAACUGAUCGGUCUGAUCCAUUAUCGGACAUAAUAUGGAGUAUACUGAGCUUCGUUGAUGCACGCAGCGGAGUACUCUCCCUCCAAGGGCCUCCUUGUCUCCCAUGCCUGUAACUCUUCUUCCCUCAAUUUUUUUCAUUUUCUAAUUCCCUUGGAUUUUGAUUUUGAUGUAUGAUUUCGAUAUUUGAGACUUGGGGUGUGAUUUUGUUUUUUCUUUAUAUUGUCUCUUCUUUUUGGGUUGAUUUCGAUAUGAAGAAUUAAGCAAAUGAUGAAUCGAGAUUGUUAUAAGUCUAAAUCGAAGUUGUCUCUGUACGAUGAUCUGUUUGAAUAUACUCCUAAUAAGUUAUAACUAAUAACUAAUAAACCUUGGAACUUUUCUAAAGCCACUGUUGUGAGAUUUUGUUUUCUUGGUUCAAUUGCUUCCUUGAUCAAAUGAAUAAGGUAGUCUAUGUUGAGGAGUAGUACUUUUCAUGUCACACCACAGCUAGACCACCUGGUUUAGGAAAAAAAUGUUCAAUAUACGUGUACGUCUAGAGAAUAUAGGCUGUUGUAAGGUUUCAUAAGUCAUAAGUCAUAAUACCUGAACCUGAACUACAAGUAAUUAGUCAUAACAGAGAAUCAUAUAUUAUUGACCUUCCUAUGAAGUAAUUCAGGUUUUCAUGGUGCCUGCUGUAUGCUACUUCUGCACUGAAUCCGGUUUUUUAAAUUCCUUUGCACCUUUUCUGACUCCUAAAAUAGAGCAUAUACUUUAAUGAAAGAUGUAAGAAGUGGUGCAAGAAAAUACUUGAGGGCAGAAAGCUACAAGUAAAACACAUAAAGAUCCUACCUCAACCAGAAGCAAACUUUGGUCAUGGUUUUUUUUCGCACAGCUACCUGUAUUGUAUAUAAUGGGAAGCUUCUACUUUUACAAAGAUAAGAAUGAGUAUAAUAGUUUAAGUAUUUCAUCUAUUU
rnacentral:lncRNA from 1 species